GAAUAGCGAAGGCCAACUUUUCCGCUUUCCUCGUUGUGAAUUCAAAAACCUCCCCGAUGUUCUCACAUUUAACAGUCAGCAGCGUACAAUUCUGUGCCGCGUCUGGAAAGUUUCAAGUAUAUAGCCAGGCCAGCCACAUCUCGAGGUAUUUUUUUAAUCUUGUUAGGGUUUACACAUCUCUCCCUCUCCCUCUCCCUCUCCCUCUCCCUCUCGCUCUCUUGUUUUGUAGAUAAGGCACAAAAUGGAAGGCCAAUUCAUGGGUUUGUGGGAUCAUGCAAGGUUCCAAAAGAACAUGAAGAUUCCUCAUUUUAUCACUUGGUCGGUUGUACUUUUGUUUAUUCUAUUUCCUUACGUUCAUACUAUUAUUAUUUUUGGAUCAUGAAGUAGAUGAUUCCCCUUACACAUCAGCCCCUCCUGCCCUUUUGUUAGUGCGUCUAAACUUUCCAAUGCCCUUCUUAUUGGUGAACUCCUCUUCCUUUUCGCAUUUUAUACUUUAUGUUGUAUACAUUCCGAGUCCCUACA
rnacentral:lncRNA from 1 species